GUGUGAAUUUUGGCUUCUGACAGUGACUUUCAUGAAAUCAAAAUUUUACAGAUAUCUAUCAAUAAGCUGAGAGUUGAGAGUGUGAUUUAAUUAUGUCUAAACUAGAAGUCUCACAGUAGUCGAAAUUCACUAUAAUUAAUUGGAAUUGUAAGUUUGUACACAUACUAUAAUCACAAAUUUCGCCAAGGCUAUACUAUAACUAAAUAUUAAUAAAGACAAACAAUAUUUAAUCUAUUCUAUUGAGAACAGACGUCAAGAAUAAAAGUUUGACAAUAAAUAGUACGCAUGCGUGUGUGCGUCAAAUACAUGAACGAAGUUUCUUAUGGGACAAUGCGGAGGCGUACCCUUACCGGGGAAAAACGUCCGUAACGUAAGAUUUUUAUUAGUAAUGCGCACAGUGUACAAAAAAUAACAUAUUUUUAUUAUAUAAUAAUAUUUUUUAUAAAUCAUUGUGAGUAAACUAAAGUUGAUAACUUUGUAAAGUAGUUUUUAUUUUAUUUUUAUCAAUAAAAAAAUUCAUAAUAAAAAAUGUAUACCCGAA